rnacentral:sRNA from 1 species
AUCAAUUGGUCGCAGGUUCGAAUCCUGCACGACCCACCAAUUUAACAUCAAACUCAGAUGUUAAGCGUGAAGGAUAACGUUGCGUCAGCAACGGCCCGUAGGGCGAGCGAAGCGAGUCAUCCUGCACGACCCACCA